CGUCACUCUGACAUGCGGACCCUUAGACCACACCAGUGGCUGACAGGCGAGAUCAUCGAGUGUCUUUUCCAUAUACAUGCACAUACAUGCACAUACAUGCACAUACAUGCACAUAAAUGUGAACUGGGGACGAGGAUUUAUAUUCUCAACCACUACUCAGCUGGUGUGAUCCUCUUUGGGAAAAGAGAAGAGGUCAGGAAGCACACUUUGUCAAAGAUACACUUUGACAGCUAUGGAGCCAUUGUGUCCUUUGUACAUGUAGACGGUAUACACUGGAAAU